AGAUAUAAAAGCCCAAAGGUUUACGUUCACCUCGUCUACAUCUCUGGUGACAACACAUCUCGAUUUCAGCAUCAAAAGCAACAACAACAAUGAACAACAAAAUGAUGUUUGUUUUUCUCCUCAUUGGAAUACUGGCUGUGUCGACUAUUCAGGUGGCAGAUGCUGUGACAUAUAGCUGUUACAAUGAGGGUGUCGGUUGCCCAAUCCCUGGCGAGGGAUCAGUUAGCAGUAGUCUGUGUAAUGACGCCUGCUCCGGCGACUUUAUGUGCUGCCAAGAUGCCUAGGAUUGUCAAAUAAUGAACCUCACAGCAGUAAAUAUUGAAAGUUGAAAUAAUUUAUGUAAUCAGAAGAUGAAAUUGCAUUCCUGAAAUAAAAAUAAAAAUAUA